GAUGAACGCUGGCGGCGUGCCUAAUACAUGCAAGUCGGACGGAGCGCUUCGGCGCUCAGUGGCGAACGGGUGAGUAGCACAUGGGCAACCUGCCCUUCAGAGGGGGACAACAGUUGGAAACGACUGCUAAUACCGCAUAAGCCCACAGGUCGGCAUCGACCAGAGGGAAAAGGAGCAAUCCGCUUUGAGAUGGCCUCGCGUCCGAUUAGCUAGUUGGUGAGGUAACGGCCCACCAAGGCGACGAUCGGUAGCCGGACUGAGAGGUUGAACGGCCACAUUGGGACUGAGACACGGCCCAG
rnacentral:rRNA from 1 species